AGGGAGGGAGAAGUGUUCCUGAACUACCGUUUACUGAGAUGCAUGAAAUGUUACCAUAUACAGUAUGCACGUGGGGGUGUUCAGGCUGAGUUCAUAGGGAAAUGAAACGUCCAUAGGUUAAUGAAACGCGGAAAAGCUCUGACAAUUAGCUGUUGUUUGCAAAGCCUCUCCUGGGCGAGGCUAAGCGUCCUAGGCACCUCUUGGCAACGUUCCUUUGGGUACUUUUAACCUCUGAAGGUGUGGCGCAAAGUCCACCUGUUUUGCUUCCUUAACCUUUGCAAUGGAACUGCCGUUCUUCUUAUCCUACCUUAUGGCUGCAGCUGCUUUGGAGGUGAAGACUAGUCCUUCUCCUGUAGUAGGCCUGGUACACAACCCAGUUGUGCUGCAUUGUAACUUUACAGUUCAGGAGAGCAUCAGAAAAGAAGACGUGGCUCUGAAAUGGGCGGUGAAAACUGUAUCUGGAGAAGAGAGGGCAGUGUUUUUGUUUGAUGGGAACCACACAGCAGGUUACCGGCACGGGCCCUUGGUGAAUGUUGAGUUACUACCCCAUGGCAUUGCAUCACUCACCUUGUCCGAUGUGACAUUAAGGGAUGAAGCUCGGCCUGCUGUGCUGCUGUCACCCCAAAGUCUCCUAGCUGCUGCAGAAGGGGAGAAGACAUUUACUUGCAACGUUCAUGACUUCUACCCCCAAGCAAUUAACAUCUCUUGGCUGGUCAGGAAACAAGGCAGCCUACGCGAAGCACCACUGUCCUCAGAUAUAUGCACAGGGGCCCCAUCUUCCCGAGGCCGUGAUGGUUUGUUUGCAGCGCUGAGUCGUGUCACCCAAAUGGUGUCUGAGGCUGAUAACGGUUCCUUAUAUAUCUGUGAAGUCCAACACGAGUCCCUGGGAAAGCCGCUACGUAGAAAUACAACUUUGUUGGUCACGAUACCAAAAUCCUAUCAUCGGGACACAGGAUUUAUUGUCGGGGUGGCCACCUCUUGCAUCAUACUGACAGGCUUAUGCAGCAUAUUUUUAACCAUCUUUUAUCAAACGCGGCUUGCAAAAGCAGAGCCCCAGGUCUCCUCAAUCAUCCAGCCUGACCUGAUCCCGAUUAAUGAAAAGAUCAGGCUGAUGUGCAAUAUAAAUGGAUUUAGACCCAAAACAAUCCAGGUGAAAUGGUACCGGAGAAAUCCACACAGGAUGGUGUCGACAGCACACCAUGCAAAGGAAGAUGCAGCCCUUUGUGAAGCUGGAGAAGAUUUUACCGGUAUGGCCAAGCAGCCGUUGGAAGCCAAUGGCAGAUUUUACAGCAUCUCCUCCUGCCUGAGUUACACGCCGACGAUAAAGGACGAUAGGGCGGAAUUUGAAUGCAACAUCCAGCACAGCACACUCAAAAAUCCAAUACGGAGGACCACAAUUAUUCAUGUUACUGCUCGACCAGCGAGUCAUUACAUCUUCAGCUCGCCCCAGGUUCCCAUACAGGGGGAUAAGCUUAUUCUGAUCUGUGUUGUGGAGAAAUUUUACCCAAAGGACAUCACUCUGGACUGGUUUCGAAAUGGGCAGCCUGUUGAAGAAGUGACACAGUUUGGGCCUUUCCCUUGUGAAAGUGAUUUUUACAGUAUAUGGAGCCAGACUGAGUUUAUCCUGACCAGAGAUGACGAAGGAGCAAUUUAUACCUGUCGGAUCAAGCACAGCAGCUUUGGAAAUGUCGAAGAACUCUCCUAUGAAAUAAAUUUGCAAGGAACACCCCCAGAAGUCCUCUGGAUCACUCCAGACCCUCCGGUUCCUGUUGCAGGAGAGGAGCUGAGGCUAAGCUGCCGAAUCAAUAACUUCUCCCCUAGCGUGAUCAGGGUGAAUUGGUUCCAAGAUGGGAAGCCACUGCAUGUGGGAAUCUGCCACUCGGUCUCCGUAGUUGGCGCCAAUGGCUUGCACUCCAUGUGGAGCCUUCUGAGAGUGACACCUGCACAGGGGGCGGGGAAUACUGUGUUUACGUGCAAGGUGGAACACGACGCACUGAGCGGAUGUGUGGAAAGAGUGUACACUUUGCAGAUGCCUGGUUGAACCGUUUUCAUGAAAAAGAAGCGAAAACUGCAUUGAAGCAAACCAAAGGGAGAUUAGCAAAGAAACUAUGAGUGGACUGGAUUUCGAGGCAUGAACAGAAGGAUAAAAGCAGAAAAAGGAAAUAAUAUGCCGUCUGCAACCACUAGAUGUCGCUUUUCACCAUCAACUGUUUGGCCAGAUAAUUCCAGAUAUUUGUGGUUUGGUUUAUUGCAUGUGAAAUCUCACACUCUGGUGACUCUCCUUCUCCAAGAAUUCAGGAGUGACUAAACUUUCUAGUUUAGAUCACCACUGCCUUUAAUUUUUUAAAUUAUGUGCCACAUUUCUCUUUGCAAGAGGAAAAAAACCAAUCCCACAAGAUAGUUCAUGACCAAGAUAACUAGCAAACAGUCAUUUAGAAAUUAUCAGAAAAAUAUUCCCCAGAGAACAUAGGAGAGUGUCCUGUUAGCUCAGUGGUAGUGCCUGUCCAUUAGGGUGUGUUGAAUUUUUCCAAAAACGAGGGUUGCUAAAAAGUUGUAACAUGGCUUGGGAAUUAAAAAGAUAUUUUGGUUAAAUUAAUAUAAUUUAGUUUUGGAUGUAGGUCAUUUUUUUGUGUAAAAUUGCAUAGAAAUUAUUAAAAAUGAUUGCCAAGUACUUCCAGUUAUAUUAUACAUUUUCGUUGUUGGCAUUUGUCUGGAAGAGUCUUCCAUUGGGAGUCAGUUGAAGAGUUACAGUGCCUAUUAUAGCUGUAGAGACCAAUAUGGGAGAGACAAUUUAGUAUAUUACCUGACAUUUUCAGAAGGCAAAAUCAAAAUUCUUUGGGUUUCUGAAAGCAGCUUAUGUACUUCUUCAUCAAACGUAGACUUACGAAGCUAGAUAUUGUCCAAUCAGAAAAACAAUGGCAGAUUUGAAUUCCACAUGCCCCAAAAUGUUUUUUUUUAAAGAUCCCUCACUAAGAAAUUUGCAAAAAUUAAGUUUCAGCCCCUAAAAUGACAUGCCCUGCUGCACAUUCUCACAGCCCCAGGAAGCAAUAUACUUCUGAAUGCCAUCUGCUGGGAAGCAGCUUCUGCUUGUGGGCUUCUUGUAGACAUUGGGUUGUCCACAGUGAGAACAGGAGGCUGGACCAGAUGGGACAUUGGUCUGAUCCAGCAGAGCUUUUCUUAUGUCCUUAAUCUUUGCCUGCUGAUGAUCCCAAGUUCAGUGCCUAGUUAUCCUCUCUUAAAAGGACCCAAGACUUUCAACCCUAAUCCCAUUGACCUGGGAGUAAGCCCCCUUGAAUUAAUAGGAUUUACUUCUAAGCAGACAUGGUUAGGGACGGGGGUGGCGCUGUGGGUUAAACCAC